rnacentral:rRNA from 1 species
UGAGCUGUGGAUAGCGGAGAAAUUCCAAUCGAACUCGGAGAUAGCUGGUUCUCCCCGAAAUAGCUUUAGGGCUAGCGUCGGAUAUGUGUAGUGGAGGUAGAGCACUGAAUGGGCUAGGGGGCAUAUCGCUUACCGAACCUUAUCAAACUCCGAAUGCCAUAUACAUUUAGUCCGGCAGUCAGACUACGAAUGAUAAGAUCCGUGGUCAAAAGGGAAACAGCCCAGAUCGUCAGCUAAGGUCCCAAAGUGUAAGUUAAGUGGAAAAGGAUGUGGGAUUUCUAAGACAACUAGGAUGUUGGCUUAGAAGCAGCCACUCAUUUAAAGAGUGCGUAAUAGCUCACUAGUCGAGAGAUCCUGCGCCGAAAAUGUCCGGGGCUAAAACUUACCACCGAAGCUACGGGCUUGCGUAAGCAAGCGGUAGGGGAGCGUCGUAAUCGGGCUGAAGUCGUACCGUAAGGAGCGGUGGACUGAUUACGAGUGAGAAUGUUGGCAUUAGUAGCGAGAUGUAGGUGAGAAUCCUACAGGCCGAAUAUCUAAGGUUUCCUCAGGAAGGCUCGUCCGCUGAGGGUUAGUCGGGACCUAAGCCGAGGCCGAAAGGCGUAGGCGAUGGACAAUCGGUUGAUAUUCCGAUACCACUACCAUCGUUAUUAUCGAGGGUGUGACGGAGAAGGAUAGUGUGUGCUAGCGAUUGGAAAUGCUAGUCUAAGCGUUUAGGCAGUUACGGUAGGCAAAUCCGCUGUAACGUUAAUGCUGAGGCGUGAUGGGGAAGGCCCUUGAGGCUGAAGUACAUGAUUCCAUGCUUCCAAGAAAAGCAUCUAGAGAGAGAAGUAGUGCCCGUACCGCAAACCGACACAGGUAGAUGAGGAGAGAAUCCUAAGGCCGGCGGAAGAAGUAUUGUUAAGGAACUCGGCAAAAUGACCCCGUAACUUCGGGAGAAGGGGUGCCUGCGAGAGCAGGCCGCAGAGAAUAGGCCCAAGCAACUGUUUAGCAAAAACACAGGUCUCUGCUAAAGCGCAAGCUGAUGUAUAGGGGCUGACGCCUGCCCGGUGCUGGAAGGUUAAGGGGAACACUUAGCGCAAGCGAAGGUGUGAACUUAAGCCCCAGUAAACGGCGGCCGUAACUAUAACGGUCCUAAGGUAGCGAAAUUCCUUGUCAGGUAAGUUCUGACCCGCACGAAUGGCGUAAUGACUUGGGCACUGUCUCAACUGCAAAUCCGGCGAAGUUGUAGUGCGAGUGAAGAUGCUCGCUACCCGCGAUUGGACGGAAAGACCCCGUAGAGCUUUACUGUAGCUUAGCAUUGAAUUCCGGUAUUGUCUGUACAGGAUAGGUGGGAGACUGGGAAACUAGGGCGUCAGCCUUAGUGGAGUCAUCCUUGGGAUACCACCCUGACAGUACUGGGGUUCUAACAGGACGCCAUGAAUCUGGUGACUGGACAUUGUUAGGUGGGCAGUUUGACUGGGGCGGUCGCCUCCUAAAAAGUAACGGAGGCGCCCAAAGGUUCCCUCAGAACGGUCGGAAAUCGUUCGUAGAGUGCAAAGGCAGAAGGGAGCCUGACUGCGAGACCUACAAGUCGAGCAGGGACGAAAGUCGGGCUUAGUGAUCCGGUGGUACCUCGUGGGAGGGCCAUCGCUCAACGGAUAAAAGCUACCUCGGGGAUAACAGGCUGAUCUCCCCCAAGAGUCCACAUCGACGGGGAGGUUUGGCACCUCGAUGUCGGCUCGUCGCAUCCUGGAGCGGUAGUACGUUCCAAGGGUUGGGCUGUUCGCCCAUUAAAGCGGCACGCGAGCUGGGUUCAGAACGUCGUGAGACAGUUCGGUCCCUAUCCGUCGCGGGCGUAGGAAAUUUGAGAGGAGCUGUCCUUAGUACGAGAGGACCGGGAUGGACUGACCUCUGGUGCACCAGUUGUUCUGCCAAGAGCAUGGCUGGGUAGCUAAGUCGGGAAGGGAUAAACGCUGAAAGCAUCUAAGCGUGAAGCCCCCCUCAAGAUGAGAUUUCCCAUAGCAUAAGCUAGUAAGACCCCUUGA